rnacentral:rRNA from 1 species
CCUACGGGAGGCUGCAGUGAGGAAUAUUGGUCAAUGGGCGCGAGCCUGAACCAGCCAAGUCGCGUGAGGGAGGACGGCCCUACGGGUUGUAAACCUCUUUUGCCGGGGAGCAACGGGCGCCACGUGUGGCGUCACUGAGAGUACCCGGAGAAAACGCAUCGGCUAACUCCGUGCCAGCAGCCGCGGUAAUACGGAGGCUGCGAGCGUUAUCCGGAUUUAUUGGGUUUAAAGGGUGCGUAGGAGGAUCGUUAAGUCAGUGGUCAAAUUGAGGGGCUCAACCCCUUCCCGCCAUUGAAACUGGCGUUCAUGAGUGGAAGAGAAGUAUGCGGAAUGCGUGGUGUAGCGGUGAAAUGCAUAGAGAUCACGCAGAACCCCGAUUGCGAAGGCAGCAUGCCGGCUUCCGACUGACGCUGAAGCACGAAAGCGUGGGGAUCGAACAGGAGUAGAUACCCCUGUAGUC